AAUAUGGUAAAAUUUAUUUCUGUAAAAUAUUGUGUAACGAUUGAUAGAAAAUUAUCGUUCUAGAAAUUAUAAUCGGUUGUACAAUAUGUUUUGGUAUUAUACCCCGAAAAAUCAUACAUAGAAAUAUCAUAGAUAUUGCGUUUAACCAUUAUUAUUAGAUUCCUUCAUUAGAUAAUUAAAAUUUACACAAUUGUACCGAAUUUUAAGGAUAGGGUAUAUUCACAAUAAACUAAAAGAACGAUAAAUUGAAUGUCAUUUUAUAUAAUUGCUUGACCAGAACCAAAUAAUAAAUAUAUUAUACACCCUAAUGCAUCUAUUAUAGCAAUGAAUAUAAAUACAACAGGCCAGCUGUGCGUUACAUGUAACAUAUAUCCAGAAAAGUAUACUCCAAGAAAUCCUGAAAAUGAUCUUUUUUACCAUCAUCUUUCCUAUUACUGCAAUAGUAAAUUUAUGAUUAUAUAUACCAGGUAUAGCACCAACGGUGUUCAUUAAUCCAAAUACACUUCCGGAAUGUUUUGGUGCAAGAUCUGAAGGAUUUACUGCAAUUGCAUUAUUAUGAAAACCUGAUCCGCCAAUUAUAAACGCAAGACAAAUUAUUGCACUUUGAAAAGUUUCAACUUUUGCU
rnacentral:lncRNA from 1 species